AAGUGUUAACGGCACUUUUAGAAUUUGUCUGGCAGGCUUUCUGACCUGUACCAGAAAACCCCC
ensembl:snRNA U7 U7 small nuclear RNA